rfam:Firmicutes bacterium CAG:194 genomic scaffold, scf32
ACAGUACAAACUGAGCAGACCGUGAUAUAUCAUGGAGUCGGGUCACAAAGGUGACAGUGGAAUUUCUUCAUCCACGGGACAGUA